rnacentral:rRNA from 1 species
GUGGGGAAUCUUAGACAAUGGGGGCAACCCUGAUCUAGCCAUGCCGCGUGAUCGAUGAAGGCCUUAGGGUUGUAAAGAUCUUUCAGCUGGGAAGAUAAUGACUGUACCAGCAGAAGAAGCCCCGGCUAACUCCGUGCCAGCAGCCGCGGUAAUACGGAGGGGGCUAGCGUUGUUCGGAAUUACUGGGCGUAAAGCGCACGUAGGCGGAUUGGAAAGUUGGGGGUGAAAUCCCGGGGCUCAACCCCGGAACUGCCUUCAAAACUCCCAGUCUUGAGGUCGAGAGAGGUGAGUGGAAUUCCGAGUGUAGAGGUGAAAUUCGUAGAUAUUCGGAGGAACACCAGUGGCGAAGGCGGCUCACUGGCUCGAUACUGACGCUGAGGUGCGAAAGCGUGGGGAGCAAACAGGAUUAGAUACCCCUGUAGUCC